rnacentral:rRNA from 1 species
AUUGAACGCUGGCGGCAGGCCUAACACAUGCAAGUCGAACGGGUGGCGGAGGGGUGAGUUAUGUCUGGGAACCUGCCUGAUGGAGGGAUCAAACCAGUAGAAACUGUAGCAAAUAGCGCAAACCCUGAUAUGUGCCCAGGUGGGAUUAGCGAGUUGGUGGGGUAACGGCUCACCAAGGCGACGAUCCCUAGCUGGUCUGAGAGGAUGACCAGCCACACUGGGACUGAGACACGGCCCAGACUCCUACGGGAGGCAGCAGUGGGGAAUAUUGCACAAUGGGCGCAAGCCUGAUGCAGCCACGCCGCGUGUAUGAAGAAGGCCUUCGGGUUGUAAAGUACUUUUGGCAGAGAAGCGGUAUCUGAAGAAUAAGCACCGGCUAACUACGUGCCAGCAGCCGCGGUAAUUC